GGAGAGAGAGAAAGAGAGAGAGAGAUCUGGUGGAGAAGGAGAAUGACGACAUCGACGGCAGACGGGCAGCUGCGGCGGCGGUGGUGGAUCUCGACGGCAGCUUGUCGUGAUGACACGGCUGCGCCGCUACUCACGGUGGAGGUGGCGAUGGAUUUCGACACCCCCCCUAAAUCGAGUUCCCUGAAUGUGAUUCCGGCUUCUGAUCAUUCCGAUUUGGUAACGAUGGUGGCUGUACUGGUUGACGACAGCCGCACUUCGUGACUUCUCAGGUGGGGUGUGGUUGUUCCGGUUUGAAUUUUAGCUUCGGUUCAAGUCAGAUUUGAUUUGGUUUAACUCGGGUUGACUAGGUCAAACCGAGUCAACUCAUUGUUCGGGUUAGCGACAGUGGAGCCGGAAAACGGAAGUGAUGUCGGCUGGAUUGGUGGUGGAUAUCCUCGGAUUGGGUUUCGAUUCACAUUCGGUGUAAGUUUGGUUCAACUCGGUUAACAAAGUCAAACCAGUCAACACGUCAGGUUGACUGGUCAACGCUGGUCAACAGGAGUCAAGGGCAGUCAACAACAGUCAACGGAUUGGUUUCGGGUCAACAGCGGUCAAACAGGUCAAACGAGGUCAACUCAGGACCCGGUAACGACUUAAACAUAACGAGAUUUAUUGAUUUCGUUGUUUUUUUUUAGUCUACGCGAACCGAGCUUGAACCGCCGUACUCUAGUUUAUUUAUUUUAGCGUUCGUUAUAUUUUGCGAAAGAUAUAUAUAAUUGUGGUUGGUUUAU